rnacentral:lncRNA from 1 species
AAAAAAAUUUUUCAUAAGAAUCACAAUUGGACUUGAGCUGAUUGAAUCUAUCAUAUGACUGAUGACGAGGUUUGAAGAUUUAUCCAUGACCUGCCAUCUAGUCGGAACUCAUGAUAGAGGGACUGAAUCACACGUGAACUAUAUCUUGAGGUUCUUUUUGGUUUUACUGGGUUGCCACUACAUACUGCUAGAUGUUAUUGAUGGAUUAAGAAAGCUCACUUGGAUUGCUCAGGAUCGAUAAUCCUUGAUGAGUUAGAGUGGAAUUAUUCCGACCCAUUGAAAAGAGUUUCAAUGAUACUAUGAUAGAGAUCAUUAUAUAUCUCACUACCAGAUAAAAUUAAAUCCAUGGGAUCACACAACAAAGGGAUUAG